rnacentral:rRNA from 1 species
GGCGUGCUUAACACAUGCAAGUCGAGCGGUAAGGCCCUUCGGGGUACACGAGCGGCGAACGGGUGAGUAACACGUGGGUGAUCUGCCUCGUACUCUGGGAUAAGCCUGGGAAACUGGGUCUAAUACCGGAUAUGACCACGAGUCGCAUGGUUUGUGGUGGAAAGAUUUAUCGGUGCGAGAUGGGCCCGCGGCCUAUCAGCUUGUUGGUGGGGUAAUGGCCUACCAAGGCGACGACGGGUAGCCGGCCUGAGAGGGCGACCGGCCACACUGGGACUGAGACACGGCCCAGACUCCUACGGGAGGCAGCAGUGGGGAAUAUUGCACAAUGGGCGGAAGCCUGAUGCAGCGACGCCGCGUGCGGGAUGACGGCCUUCGGGUUGUAAACCGCUUUCGACAGGGACGAAGCGUGAGUGACGGUACCUGUAGAAGAAGCACCGGCCAACUACGUGCCAGCAGCCGCGGUAAUACGUAGGGUGCGAGCGUUGUCCGGAAUUACUGGGCGUAAAGAGCUUGUAGGCGGUUUGUCGCGUCGUUCGUGAAAACUUGGGGCUCAACCCCAAGCUUGCGGGCGAUACGGGCAGACUAGAGUACUGCAGGGGAGACUGGAAUUCCUGGUGUAGCGGUGAAAUGCGCAGAUAUCAGGAGGAACACCGGUGGCGAAGGCGGGUCUCUGGGCAGUAACUGACGCUGAGAAGCGAAAGCGUGGGUAGCGAACAGGAUUAGAUACCCUGGUAGUCCACGCCGUAAACGGUGGGUACUAGGUGUGGGUUUCCUUCCACGGGAUCCGUGCCGUAGCUAACGCAUUAAGUACCCCGCCUGGGGAGUACGGCCGCAAGGCUAAAACUC